ACUCUCACUGUCUCAGUAGUUGUACAACUUUUACGGUCGUCGUAAGCAAUAACGUCCUAAUGGCAAACCCGUAAUUGCAUUGGAAAUGAGAUAAGAGUGAACUAGCAGUGGGAAGGCGUUAUGACCGUGGGGACACGCCGCCGACGCCGGGACAUCUGCAUCUACGUGACGACGAGUGAGAGGCAGUAUCAGUAUGACAAUCUCAUACCAGGGUCAAGUCGCCACUAGCACGUUCGGAUGUUUCUGGAAGCUUCUGUUGAGGUGGCGGGGCAGCUUGUGGCGACUCAUAUGGAAAGAUCUCCUGCUUUUUGCCGUGAUGUAUGCUGUGAUUAGUAUAGUGUACAGGCGUGCGUUGGACGACAAUCAGAAACGGUGAGAGCCUGAUCGAAUAUAAUGUGCAUAUUUCGAACAUUAUAACUUCUACAUCGCACUUGAAUAUAUAACGUGACAAUCAGAAAUAGUAUGGGCCUGUUAGACUGCCAUAUUUUAGACAUUGCCACUGCUCCCCUUCUACGUGGUACUUGAGUAUAUCACACGACAAUCAGAAACGGUUAUACAAUAUUAUGUCCAUGUUUUUGACGUCACCACCGCCCUCAUGUCUUUGUCGCACUGAAAUCGACAUGACGCGAAAUGCGUCAGCAGUCGCCAGAUUUACUCAUACCAACCUUUUUCUAAAGUCGAUUUGCUACAGCUAAGUUAUAGCUUAUUGCUACAGCUAAGUUAUAGCUUAUGCUGCUUAUUGCUACAGCUAAGUUAGAGCCUAUUACUACAGCUAUGCUAAGGUUUACUACUCGCUAACCUAAGCUAUACCUUAUUGCUACAGGUAUUAAGCUAUACCUUUUUGCUACAGGUAUUAAGCUAUACCUUU